rnacentral:rRNA from 1 species
CAGGGGGGGAUAGUGGGCAAUGGGGGACAACCGGAUCCAGCAAUACCGAGGGAGGGAUGUAGCCCGUAGGGCUAUAAAACUCUUGUAGCAAGGAAGAUAAUGACGUUACUUGCAGAAAAAGCCGCGGCUAACUCCGUGCCAGCAGCCGCGGUAAGACGGGGGGGGGUAGCGUUGUUCGGAAUUACUGGGCGUAAAGAGUGCGUAGGCGGUUUAGUAAGUUGUAAGUGAAAGCCCGGGGCUUAACCUCGGAAUUGCUUUCAAAACUACUAAUCUAGAGUGUAGUAGGGGAUGAUGGAAUUCCUAGUGUAGAGGUGCCAUUCUUAGAUAUUAGGAGGAACACCGGUGGCGAAGGCGGUCAUCUGGGCUACAACUGACGCUAAUGCACGAAAGCGUGGGGAGCAAACAGGAUUAUAUCCCCUGG